rnacentral:rRNA from 1 species
AGUUCGGAUUGCAGGCUGCAACUCGCCUGCAUGAAGCGGAAUCGCUAGUAAUCGCGAGUCAGCAUAUUGCGGUGAAUACGUUCCCGGGUCUUGUACACACCGCCCGUCACACCACGAAAGUUGGCAACACCCGAAGCCGAUGGGCUAACCGCAAGGGGGCAGUCGUCUAAGGUGGGGUCGAUGAUUGGGGUGAAGUCGUAACAAGGUACC